rnacentral:lncRNA from 1 species
UUGAUAUCUCGACAUAUAAUUGAAUGAUAUGGAAGGGUGCAUCUUAAGAGGAAGGAGAUCCAUCUUAUAUAAUAGAUGUGUCAUCUGCAAAUUGAUACAAAAAGAGGGACGAAAGAUACCAAAGGGAUAGUCAAACUCAUAAAUCUAAAACAAACUGACAACGCCAUGGCUAAAAAUGAAAAAGACAAACAGAAAAACAAUAGUAAACAUGAC